rnacentral:rRNA from 1 species
CCUAAUUGCGGUCUAUGCCCUCUUUGCAAGCAAACCCAAGAAACCGCGGCUCAUUUGCUUUUCCAGUGCCGCUACACCAUGCGCAUUUGGAAUGACGUCCUCCCAUGGCUCGGCAUGCAUCACAUCACCACGUCUACCUGGGUGACAAGGGCUUCGGUCAGAGAAUGGUGGAAUGCUAACCUGCAGAUCCGUCUCGGCUCGCCCAAGGCGCUCGCCUCCCUCAUGAUGCUCAUCUCUUGGGAGGUUUGGUCGGAGCGCAAUGCUAGAGUCUUCCGCAACUCAGCGGCCCCUUCCAUGACCAUCAUCAGCAAACUCAAGCAGGAGGUAUCGCUUUGGGCUUUGGCUGGAGCGAAGCAUUUGGGUGUUGUAAUGCCGCGAGAGUAG